UGACUUCUGACAACGUGUGUUCCGAAUCAAACACGCUCUUGCGUUUUAAUCAUGGCAGACUUGUUAACAGGCAAUGAGGACGACUAUUUUUGGACAAAUAAGGAUAAACUGAGGAUGAACUACUGCCUUUAAAAGCGUGUACAAAGAAGAAGGUGAGACGUUGGAGCAGACGGAAGCCAGGGGAGUGAUGUGAAAGCGACUUUGACGGUAUAAAUUUGGAACUUGAAGACAAGCUAUUUCGACAUACCCCGCCUACCGCCCGAAUGCAGUGGACCUUUUACGUCAACUCUGGAGGAACAAAACUCCCCAUCCUUACCUCACACCAGGGGUAGGGAACCUAUGGCUCUAGAUCCAGAUGUGGCUCUUUUGAUGACUGCACCUGGCUCUCAGAUAAAUCUUACCUGACAUUGGUUAACACGAGUUUGAGGAUGACAGCCCGCCACUCCAAAUUCCCUUCCGCCCGCCGAGAGGGUCAAGGUCAAGGUCAUUAAGCGCAAGUGGACGGAGCCCAGGUGGACCGGUCCCUUUAAGGUCGUGGAACGGACGUCCCACGCCCUUCGACUGGCUGGUAAAAGGGACACCUGGUACCACCUCUCCCUUUGCACUCCUGCUGAAGGACCUGACAGAUCUCCAGCAGAUGUCACUGCCGACAUCGCCACAUUACCUGCCCCUCUCGACCCUCUAGCAGCGCCUUUUGAGCCUGAGGAAUCUGAAGAACGGGAGCAGGCAGAAGACUCACUGUUAGACACCAAAGGGGGUGAUGUGCUGUUAACCUCUCCACCCAGGUCAUAGAAGAACGAGGCUUGAGUAACUUACACACAUAGUCUAACAGCCCAGAAGAAGACGCAGAGAGAAAGAUCUCCCCAAGUUGAGCUGCCGUCUACCAGACCUGCUCAACUGCUGUUUCAUAUAUCCAAAGCUAUCAUUACUUGAGAUCAACCUAUGUACUCGAUGUUAUAUAACUUCUCUGACUUGUUUUCAGCAUAACUAUUGGUGUCGCUACAAUAAGUGAAAAGUUUGAUGUUUAUCCCCGUUUAAUUACCUAAAUUACUCAGAUUUUAAUAGACGAAAGGCAGGAUGUUACACCCAGCAGUAUUCACUGGUGGACUGGUACUUAGGCUUGUUCUACUGUCCUUGUGCCUCAGUCCUUCCUUCCUGACGACAGUGACUGACAAGUGUCUUAGAACAUAUGGCGUACUUGAAAUAGACUGGAUCAGGGGGGACCGCAAGACUUAUUUUUUUGACCUAUGCAGUGUGAUUGAUUGCGGGGGACAUAGUAGCUAUUACUGUGGUUGUAACGUCUAUCUUUGUUACGACUCAACCGUGGACUAUUGGUGUCGGAAGCAGACAACAUACUCUAUUGGGUGGACUCAGGUAACCCACUACACAGGGCAUUGGAAUCCCACUGGCCCCUAUUCUUACAUCAAAACUACUCAGGAAGGGAUGACCUUCAUUGAGGAACUUUGAUCGUUUCCAGAACCCCAUUGCCCUUACAAAUGCCCACGUGGGUGUCAUGCCCAAUUGGACCAGUCCGUUUUAUGUUGUGUUAGGGGUUGACCAGACUGGUACAGAAUCGAAAGGGAUUAUCAAAAAUAAUGUCCUCGAGAGGGCACCAAAAUAUUGGUGACUAUGUGGCUUGUUCCGCUGGGCGUCCUUUUCCCCACACUUACCCCGCCCCUUUUAAGUUGACUGACACAAAUGGCUCAAACUGUCUUAUCUCCUUGUUUUCUGAACCCACGCCGCCAGGGUGCGAUUCGUUGGCUAGUGUGUACCCUCCUGUUGGCAAUUUCACCCAACUUCUUCCCUUUGUGGCCCAAAAGAUGAAUUACACGUGUUUUCAAUUCACAGGACCCUCUUCUUCCCCCCAACAAAUUGGGUGACAGUGACCCUUCCUGAGUGCACCACACUGAUAGAUGGCUCCAAAAUAGGCCCUUGGGCACGGGCUGACUUGUUCUGGUAUUGUGGGGAACACAGAUUGUACUAUAGAAUCCCGAUGUCAGCCAUCCGGGCUUUGUGCUAAGGUUAGACUAGUGACCCCUCUCAACCUAGUGGGUACCAAAUUAACACCCCUUGGAACUCCUGUUUCCACGGCCUCUUUAACUUCCCGCCAACACCGUCAUGUUCUAUCUAGGAGGAGUGUAACGGGCUCCUUUGAUUUGAUGAGAAACCCUGAUGGUGUUUACUUUGAUGCGAUAGGGCAACCUAGAGGGAUCCCCUCACAACAUAAAGUGUGGUGUGAAUCCUGUGCAGGUUUCGAGAACCUUCUUAACAUUGGUGCUAUUUUCCCUGUGACUGCUACUAAAAAUGUAGAAUGCAUUAACUAUGGUUUUUAUAAUCUAAUGAGACUGACCAACAUGACUCGUGAUGAUAUUGAGGAACAAUUUGCCCCGACCUCCCUCAGGCGAUCCAUUGCUUUGUCUCUGAAGGGGGUCGAGUAAAGUGGUGACUUUCGAGAAUUGCUAGUUUCCCUCACUGACCCUGACAACUUUGACGUGGACUCCCUCCAUCCGUCUCCUAUGUAACUAUUUUAUUUUAGUGCGAGCUUGCUAAAACUUUAAGGUGGGGUGUGCUUUAGAAGUUUUGUAUUUGUGUUAGACAUCUUUUGUAGAAGAUCUGAAGGGGGAUUGACGGAGAUAGAUAUCUAUAUAUAGCCAUAUGUAGGGUUAUUUCUUUCUAUAGUCAUAUUUGAAAUAGCUAGUGUUUUCCAUUUGUAGUCUUUUUAUUUUAUAAUAUCAGGUCCAUGGUACAUUGCAAGUUAGCCUUGGCUUUAGGAAUGUGAGGAGUAGCAAUACUCCCUUCUUAUCUCAUCCUCAGACGGCUAAGGAGAACAAUAAGACGUGUAUUCGGCCCGGAGGGUGGGGGCCGGUGAGAGUAAGAAAAGAAGCGAAACUUCGGUAGUAGAGUUAGAUCAAUUUGGGCAAUGCGAUGGACUGUUAUAUCUAGAUUGGUAUCAUCCAUAGCUUUGGAUUAAAGUAUCAUAUACUCAUUGUCUGGGAUUCAUUGAGAAUCAGCUUUUGUGUCAUAAAAAGAAUUUGGGUCAAGCCUGGUCAAACGCAACAAUUCCUAUCCAUGAAUAUGUGAAUCAAAAUAUUCGCAAUGUCCCUUAAAGUCUGAGGUAAUAUAUUUAGGUAUUAACCUAUCAAAAAAAAAAAAGACUCUAAGAAAACAGACAUAGAAAAUAAAAUUGAAGAAUGCCAAACUAAGCUACAUUAAUGCAGGUAUUUGUCAAUAGUUGGACAUAUUUACUUAACCAAAAAUAUGGGUAAAUGUUGUUUGUGGAUAUAAAGUGACUUUAUUUCACUAUGGCUAGUAAUGGAAGAAAUACAUUAAUGUUGUCUUCCUCAAAUGUAGUAAACAUGUAAUUGUUUGGUUUGCCUGGAUUGAAAUGUACUGUUAGACAUGAUCAAAUAAAAUAGUUAGUGCAUUAAUGAAAUCUUGUGUAACAAUAGUUAUGGGAGUAAUAACGGGUAGUGUGACAAACUAUUUGGAGCAGAAAUAAGAUUUGUUUUGGCAAUGCUCUGUACGAUUGUUUCAAUUCAGAAAGAGGUGGGUGAAAGUGAAAUGUUGCUUUUUCCAAGCAAGUUGGUUUGUGCAUCCAUAAUAUCUACAACCCACCAAAUAGUUUUCUGCACACAGCCAUCGUAAUACAACUAUUUGAUUGUGUGUCAAAUAAAUAUGUUAUUCCAUAUUGGAAUGUGAUGAGAGGACACGUGUGUGUACUUCAUCUUCCAGUAAGCUACAUCUGCUUGUGAAAGUCUGAGAAUUUAACAGGAAGCGUUUAGAAAGAAUCACCUUUUUUAAUCCAUGACUUCCACCAGUUAAAUUUCAGAGUAUCAUUUAAACCAGGUGGUACUAGGGCUUCAUCAAGUGGUUAGUUCGCCAAAGAAUCACUUGAUUAAAGCAAAGUGUUUUAUUUUCCUAUAUUCUGUCAGGAAGUGUUGGUGACACACCCCAAGAUGCAGAGAUGGCAAGCUUGUUGCAGGAAAAUAUGACUUUUAUUGUCAAUAAAAACAUGCAGGA